ACGUGCCAGCAGCCGCGGUAAUACGUAGGGGGCGAGCGUUAUCCGGAUUCAUUGGGCGUAAAGCGCGCGUAGGCGGCCCGGCAGGCCGGGGGUCGAAGCGGGGGGCUCAACCCCCCGAAGCCCCCGGAACCUCCGCGGCUUGGGUCCGGUAGGGGAGGGUGGAACACCCGGUGUAGCGGUGGAAUGCGCAGAUAUCGGGUGGAACACCGGUGGCGAAGGCGGCCCUCUGGGCCGAGACCGACGCUGAGGCGCGAAAGCUGGGGGAGCGAACAGGAUUAGAUACCCUGGUAGUCCCAGCCGUAAACGAUGGACGCUAGGUGUGGGGGGACGAUCCCCCCGUGCCGCAGCCAACGCAUUAAGCGUCCCGCCUGGGGAGUACGGCCGCAAGGCUAAAACUCAAAGGAAUUGACGGGGGCCCGCACAAGCAGCGGAGCAUGUGGCUUAAUUCGAAGCAACGCGAAGAACCUUACCAGGGCUUGACAUAUGGGUGAAGCGGGGGAGACCCCGUGGCCGAGAGGAGCCCAUACAGGUGGUGCAUGGCUGUCGUCAGCUCGUGUCGUGAGAUGUUGGGUUAAGUCCCGCAACGAGCGCAACCCCCGCCGCGUGUUGCCAUCGGGUGAUGCCGGGAACCCACGCGGGACCGCCGCCGUCAAGGCGGAGGAGGGCGGGGACGACGUCAAGUCAUCAUGCCCCUUAUGCCCUGGGCUGCACACGUGCUACAAUGGCCGGUACAGAGGGAUGCCACCCCGCGAGGGGGAGCGGAUCCCGGAAAGCCGGCCCCAGUUCGGAUCGCAGGCUGCAACCCGCCUGCGUGAAGCCGGAGUUGCUAGUAAUCGCGGAUCAGCACGCCGCGGUGAAUACGUUCCCGGGCCUUGUACACACCGCCCGUCACACCACCCGAGUCGUCUGCACCCGAAGUCGCCGGCCCAACCGCAAGGGGGGAGGCGCCGAAGGUGUGGAGGGUGAGGGGGGUGAAGUCGUAACAAGGUAGCCGUACCGGAAGGUGCGGCUG
rnacentral:rRNA from 1 species